rfam:Camelus ferus unplaced genomic scaffold scaffold1616, whole genome shotgun sequence.
GGGUAUAGCCCAGUGGUAGAGCAUGUACUUAGCAUGCAUGAGGUCCUGGGUUCAAACCCCAGUACCACCG